AGUACCUAAAAACUGAACGGUCGAGAUGUGGAUGUGCGAUCGAAAAGUGACCAAAAACUCGAACUUCACACGUUAAUUUUCAAAGCAGAGCUCCGCUCUGGAUAGAAUCUAACACACAGAUUUUAUCCAGAGCGGAGCUCCACUUUGAAAUUAACAUGUGAAGUUCGAGUUUUGGGUCACUUUUCGGUCGCAUAUCCACAUCUCGACCAUUCAGUUUUUAGGUACU
rnacentral:pre_miRNA from 1 species